CUAAGUUUUCUGAACUCAUAGAAAGUUCCUGUUUAUCCGAAGUCUACUUAAGUCACAGCAAAGUUUCCACUCAUUCUCCAGGCUUUCCAUGUUAUUCCAAAUCACACUGAAAUAAAGUUCAGUAUUGCAUUACCCACACCUAUGGCACCCAACCCCCAGGCCCCCACCACCUCACCCCAUCACACAAGUCUCAAUCAAGCAUACAUGCACUUCUCUGACACUAGGCUGAAUCUUAGGGUGGAACACAUCUGAAAAUGUCUGUGUGGUUCAGAAUGAACUCUGAAAAAGUUUCCGCCCAUACCAUUGAAUAACAUCCUGUUGUUUUGGCUUUUU
rnacentral:lncRNA from 1 species